UGUUGAUGAUGAUUCCAAGUCAUA
rnacentral:snRNA from 1 species